rnacentral:rRNA from 1 species
AUUGAACGCUGGCGGCAGGCUUAACACAUGCAAGUCGAGCGAGCGGCGGACGGGUGAGUAAUGUCUGGGAAAGUGCCUGAUGGAGGGGGAUAACUACGGGAAACGGUAGCUAAUACCGCAUACUAUCAGAGCGGCCGAGAUGGGAUUAGCGAGUGGGUGGGGUAAUGGCUCACCAAGGCGACGAUCCCUAGCUGGUCUGAGAGGAUGACCAGCCACACUGGAACUGAGACACGGCCCAGACUCCUACGGGAGGCAGCAGUGGGGAAUAUUGCACAAUGGGUGCAAGCCUUAUACAGCCAUGCCGCGUGUAUGAAGAAGGCCUUCGGGUUGUAAAGCACUUUCAGCGAGGAGGCGUUACUCGCAGAAGAAGCACCGGCUAACUCCGUGCCAGCCGCCGCGGUAAUAC